CUACGUUGUUUUGUGAGGAAUUGACAUUGUAUUCUCCACUUUCCCAUUUCAUUUGGCAAUAGCCCUAAUCCAUCAGCCGUUCCUUUCAGCCGUUCUCUCGCCACGGUCUCACCCUUCCAUCACCGGUCGCGCCUUCCAUCACAGCUCUCUCAUCACGCUGUUCUCUCGCCUUCCAUCACAACUCUCUUAUCACCGGUCGCGCCUUUCCAUCACCGGUCGCGCCCUUCCACAUGGAUGAAUUAAGGCAUUGAAAUCUCGUACGGAUCUACUAAAUCUCUGUCCUUGGAUGAGAAUAUCUGUGCUUUGCCGAGAUCUGUUCGUACUCCGAUAGAUCUGUUUGGUGCCGGCGGUGACCAAUCGUUUAGUCGUUGAAGAAUUUCAGGCGACCAUGGUUUUGCAAGGGUUUGUUGGAUUGUUUUACUGCUAUACAUACAUAUAUAUAUAUAUAUAUAGUUCUGGUGCACUGUUUAUUUGUUUUCUUUCAUAUAUUUAUGUAUAGUGUUGAGAGAGAGAUUGUUCUGUGAAAUGUGAAUGUUCUACUAGUUGUCACAGACCUUUGCCAUGUCAGGUGCGCUUGCAUGGCAGUUCAACAAAAAAACAUAAUAAAAUUUCGCCUUUUCGUGUUCGGGAGAUGGCAUGGGCUUUUUUGGCCGGCUCUCCCUGGUGUGUCUCGUGUCCUUUUUGUUCAUUUUUUUCUCUACCACAAAUCAGCUCUUUGCGAUGUUAAAUCUUCCUCAAACCCGAGACACACGACUCUUCAUUUCAAGCCAGCAAACGCGAGGAUGGUAUCAAUUUCAUGGUUUUCAGUUCAAGAGGUGGAGAGGCUCAACGUUUGCUAAUGGGCCUUUGUGGUGCUUCUUCUCCAUCAGUGGUGGUUGGUCAUUGCCACAUCAUUGUUGUGGAUCUUAUGGUGGUGUUUACGGCCAGGAAUUGCAGUUUAUUAUGUCAUGUUCAAUUGCCUCUGAUCCAGGUUAGAGGGAAAACAUAAAAGAACUUCAAAAAAGUUAUUCUGACUCGCCUAUUGGCAGUUCCAAUGAUUUGUUCUCCAUUGUGAGGGGAGAAGAGAGAACUGGUUGUGUGCGGAUGCUUGGCUUCGGGCCUACACCAAGCGAUGUUUGGGGGCCCUCUCCUAGUAAAGCUGAACUGAUUAAUAAUGCGAAAAAAUCUGAUGAAGAGGCACGUGCUGCCCACGUAGAGUUGCAGGAGAGCAUUUCAAAAAUGCAAGCGAGUAUGACAAGAAGUUGGAAAAUUUACGAGCCAACUAUGAUAACAAGUUGGAAAAUUUACAACAACAGGUGGCUAUGCUAAUGCAGAUACAACAACAAAAUUAUAGUGGACAGGGUUCUGAUUCUUUAAAUGCUCCUCUUAGAGUAUCUCCAAAUUCAUUUUCUAGUCGUGAUGCCAAUUUAGUUAAGGGUAAUUCAAAUCAAAUGGGCAAGAACUUGUUGAAGAUGAAGAUGGGGUCGUGGCUGUGCUUUCUGAAUUUCCUUCGGCUUGGAUGUGUUCUUUUUGAAAAACUUGUGCUACAUUUGUCAAAAAUUCUUAGUUCUUUUUGUCUGACAUUUAGUAGCUUUGUUUAGACAAUUUGGAUGGUAUAUUGGUAGGUUAACUUGUGGUUGUAUUAGUAUACAUUUUUGCUUUUUGGUUGACAUUUAUCAGCUUAACUUGCGGUUAA